UACGUAGGGGGCAAGCGUUGUCCGGAUUUAUUGGGCGUAAAGAGCGUGUAGGCGGCCAGGUAGGUCCGUUGUGAAAACUCGAGGCUCAACCUCGAGACGCCGAUGGAAACCAUCUGGCUAGAGUCCGGAAGAGGAGAGUGGAAUUCCCGGUGUAGCGGUGAAAUGCGUAGAUAUCAGGAGGAACACCUGUGGUGUAGACGGCUCUCUGGACAGUAACUGACGCUGAGACACGAAAGCGUGGGUAGCAAACAGG
rnacentral:rRNA from 1 species